rnacentral:rRNA from 1 species
GAUGAACGCUGGCGGCGUGCCUAAUACAUGCGAGUCGAGCGAACAGACGAGGAGCUUGCCCCUCUGACGUUAGCGGCGGACGGGUGAGUAACACGUGGAUAACCUACCUAUAAGACUGGGAUAACUUCGGGAAACCGGAGCUAAUACCGGAUAAUAUAUUGAACCGCAUGGUUCAAUAGUGAAAGACGGUUUUGCUGUCACUUAUAGAUGGAUCCGCGCCGCAUUAGCUAGUUGGUAAGGUAACGGCUUACCAAGGCAACGAUGCGUAGCCGACCUGAGAGGGUGAUCGGCCACACUGGAACUGAGACACGGUCCAGACUCCUACGGGAGGCAGCAGUAGGGAAUCUUCCGCAAUGGGCGAAAGCCUGACGGAGCAACGCCGCGUGAGUGAUGAAGGUCUUCGGAUCGUAAAACUCUGUUAUUAGGGAAGAACAAAUGUGUAAGUAACUAUGCACGUCUUGACGGCACCUAAUCAGAAAGCCGCGGCUAACUACGUG